CCGCUUGAAGAUGAGGAGCUGGCGUCCUACAUCCUAGGAGGACUCUAUGUUGAUUAUCAUCCACUUGUUUCAUCUAUGAUGGCACGUAUAGAAGCUGUGCAUCUGAGCGAUCUGUAUUCUCAAAUCAUGUGUUAUGA
rnacentral:snoRNA from 1 species